UGCGCCACCUCGGGGUGCCAGAUGUGACCAACAGCUGGCUGAGAUGCAAUCGUGUGAACCCGUUGAACCUGAACCGGUUAAGACCGGCGGAGGGAAGGUCUGGACAGUCUCC
rnacentral:ncRNA from 2 species